GCCAGUAUGAUAUAGUGGUUUGUGUGUUGGACUAGAACUCUGGAGACCAGAGUUCAAAUCCCAUCUUGGCC